ACAGAGUUGGAGUAUGGUAUUGUGCAUACAAAUUGAAUUGGUUCUCUAGGCCAGCCCCUAAUGCCUUUUGGCUUUGAUAUUGGGGCAUGGUUCCGCAACAAAACA